UACGUAGGGGGCGAGCGUUGUCCGGAAUCACUGGGCGUAAAGCGCGUGUAGGCGGCUCGGUAAGUCCGGUGUGAAACCUUGGGGCUCAACCCCAAGCCUGCACUGGAUACUGUCGAGCUCGAGUCCGGGAGGGGAGAGCGGAAUUCCUAGUGUAGCGGUGAAAUGCGCAGAUAUUAGGAAGAACACCGGUGGCGAAGGCGGCUCUCUGGAACGGUACUGACGCUGAGACGCGAAAGCGUGGGGAGCGAACAGG
rnacentral:rRNA from 1 species